rnacentral:rRNA from 1 species
GACAGAGGGUGCAAACGUUGCUCGGAAUUACUGUGCGUAAAGCGCGUGUAGGCGGACUGGUAAGUCGGACGUGAAAUCCCUGGGCUCAACCCAGGAACUGCAUCCGAAACUAUCAGUCUGGAGUGGUGGAGAGGGAAGCAGAAUUCCUGGUGUAGAGGUGAAAUUCGUAGAUAUCAGGAGGAACACCGGUGGCGAAGGCGGCUUCCUGGACACUAACUGACGCUGAGACGCGAAAGCGUGGGGAGCAAACAGG